UUCGGUACCGGCAGGGGCGGACUGACCAUCUGUAGAAUCACCGAACGGCCGGGUCGGUUUGCUGUUUUUAAACGGCAUCAUUGAAGUUAAGCUGACAGGCGACAGAGGUCCACCGUUUCCCAGUCCGCCCCUGCCGGCCAUCAUCUACUCUAGGGAGUUCUCCCCUGACAGCUGGACACUACAUGAUAGCAGAGGACCAGACCAUCGUCAGUGACAGUGUCCUGAAUGUUGUUGACGCCCUGAUGCUGAUGUUUGCAGCAUAUUACUGCCUCAACAUCAGUUAUCGCUCAGAACUGGGAGCUACCCUGGAGUUCUUGCAGAGUGGUGUGCUUUGGCUCCUCCCUAAAAGCCCAAACUCACUCUUAGCCAAUCGGUGGUAUGUUUACUUCAGCUCAAUGAAAAUGACGGAAAGAGGGCCCUUUGUCGACAACAAAAGAAAACCUGGUGCCUAUUCAAGAUCAAUCCGGACAAUGGGACUAGAGUGGAGAGGAAGGAAUACAAACAAAAACAGCACUCGAUAAAGAUAAAGAUUUCAUGAAGUUUGCUGACGACACGACCGUCAUCGGCC